rnacentral:tRNA from 1 species
CGGGGUGUGGCGCAGUUUGGUAGCGCACCUGUCUCGGGGUCAGGGGGUCGGAGGUUCGAAUCCUCUCACCCCGACCA